rnacentral:tRNA from 1 species
UGGGCUGUGGCUCAGUGGUAGAGCACUUGAUGCACGUGUAUGAAGCACUGGGUUCGAUUCUCAGCACCACAU